AUACGUAGGGUGCGAGCGUUAAUCGGAAUUACUGGGCGUAAAGCGUGCGCAGGCGGUUUCGUAAGACAGACGUGAAAUCCCCGGGCUCAACCUGGGAACUGCGUUUGUGACUGCGAGGCUAGAGUACGGCAGAGGGGGGUAGAAUUCCACGUGUAGCAGUGAAAUGCGUAGAGAUGUGGAGGAAUACCGAUGGCGAAGGCAGCCCCCUGGGUUAGUACUGACGCUCAUGCACGAAAGCGUGGGUAGC
rnacentral:rRNA from 1 species